CACCCAUUUGUGUCCAGCUCUCCACUGCCCCAUGGACUAUCACCCGCCAGGCUCCUCUCUCCAUGGGAUUCUCCAGGCAAGAGUGCUGGAGUGGGUUGCCAUGCUCUCCUCCAGGGGAUCUUCCUGACCCAGGAAGGGAACCAGCAUAUCUUACAUCUCCUGCAAUGGCAGGGCUUCCAAUUAUGGAUACCACAAAUGGACCCAAAAGCAGGGCCCCUUGGCUUGGAUGCUGUACUCAUAGGUGCCCCUGUCUAGAAGGCACUCCCUGACUAAUAACAAAGGGCCUGGAAGAAAGAUGUUUCCCACCACGGAAGAAAAUAUCAAGAGAAUUCUUUAGGCUCCUCCUACAGCACUGAGCAAGCCAGAGGUCCAAGCCGUCAGAAAAUGGAAUUUUCUACACAAGAAGAAAGUCCAUAGAAUCACACGAUGAAGCUACUUGAAAGCAAGUGGGGAUCUAGAUUUUAGCCAGACCAGCCUGAGGGUUGGUAUCUGAGAAAACACAGCGGUAGGAGGUAAGAACAGUACAAACUGUCAAACAAAGGUCCUUAUGUUGCAGGGACUACUCAUCUUGCCAGAACUGUUAAUUUCUAAGUCACUUAAAACUAAGUGGGUUUCUCCUUGAGUACUCCUGAUGAGACAUUCUGAUAAGUGAUUGAAAUUGGACAUUUUGGUGGCUCAGACGGUAAAGCAUCUGUCUACAAUGUGGGAGACCUGGGUUCAGUCCCUGGGUCGGGAAGAUCCCCUGGAGAAGGAAAU
ensembl:lncRNA